rnacentral:rRNA from 1 species
GAUGAACGCUAGCGGCAGGCCUAACACAUGCAAGUCGAGGGGCAGCACAUAAAGUGGUUUACUACUUUUGGUGGCGACCGGCGGACGGGUGCGUAACGCGUAUGCAACCUGCCUCCAACAGGGGGAUAACGGAGAGAAAUUUCCACUAAUACCCCAUAAUAUCAGAAUCGGCAUCGGUUUUGGUUGAAAACCCCGGUGGUUGGAGAUGGGCAUGCGUUGUAUUAGAUAGUUGGUGAGGUAACGGCUCACCAAGUCAACGAUACAUAGGGGGACUGAGAGGUUAGCCCCCCACACUGGUACUGGGACACGGACCAGACUCCUACGGGAGGCAGCAGUGAGGAAUAUUGGUCAAUGGGGGCAACCCUGAACCAGCCAUGCCGCGUGCAGGAAGACGGCUCUAUGAGUUGUAAACUGCUUUUACAAGGGGAUAAAUCGGUGUACGCGUACACCGUUGAAGGUACCUUGGGAAUAAGGAUCGGCUAACUCCGUGCCAGCAGCCGCCGUAA